GUUCCUGUAUUGUAGUGGUUAUCACGUUUGCUUUACACGCAAUAGGUCUCUGGUUCAAAACCAGACAGUAAUG
rnacentral:tRNA from 1 species